GCAAAGCCCAUUAGCAGGUAGCACAAGCUGAAUCCUGAUUCUCUAGCUGCAAAGCACGGUGUGAAGAAUGAUGAAGAUUAGCUCAUUCUUGAGUAGAUGGUGUGAAGUGCAGUUGUGAGGGCUGGAGUUGCUGUAGUCACUUUGUCACCACGAGGAAAACUGGCCCGAAGAAGAAGAAUCUGAUGCACAGGGAAGAGCAGAGCCAAGUAGAAGAGAACACUGGAGGUGGACCUGAAGCAUACUCUCUCUCUGAGCCUUUUUGAGCCACAUGAGGUCGAAUUGGCCUGGGACUGAAAAUAGGAACAGAAGAACAGCAACAAACAGUAACUUUCUGGGUCGACUUUCUUUACCAUGCACCAGACACUUCACAUGCCUAAGGGAACCGAUCUCUUCCCUUUUCUGCCCUAACUGCUGAGGUAGUGCCCGGAAGCUGCAAUGCUCUGCCCAAGACUCAGUUGGUCUUGCGCCCCCCACCCCUGACCUUUAAGGCUCGUCCAUGUUCUACUGUUCCGCUUUGCUCCAUGCUGUCCUCUCUUCUCAGGGACCAUAAGUGAGUAAAGGACCCUUCUUUGUGUCUCUCACAUCAACACCCAGAUAAUUGAUUUCAGUGGGGAAAGGAGGUACAUUUCUUAAAAGUUACCUUUUCUUUUUUUUUUUAAUUUUUUUUUCAACGUUUAUUUAUUUUUGGGACAGAGAGAGACAGAGCAUGAACGGGCGAGGGGCAGAGAGAGAGGGAGACACAGAAUCGGAAACAGGCUCCAGGCUCCGAGCCAUCAGCUCAGAGCCUGACGCGGGACUCGAACUCACGGACCACGAGAUUGUGACCUGAGCUGAAGUCGGACGCUUAACUGACUGCGCCACCCAGGCGCCCCAAAAAGUUACCUUUUCUUAUAUGGUUGGCAGUCCUUUUUCACUGGCUGCCCUUUCCCCCCCUCUGUCCUGCUCCUCCCUAGCAAGACAGACACUCCACUGUAUUCCAAAUUGCCAGACUCCCUAGUCUAGAAAUUAAUACUUCAAAUUCUUUCCUUCAGAUGUCUUCUGGUCUCUCCUGCGAGUUGGCCAGUGGAACCCAAUCCUGUUGGGUUCCCUAGAAAUCACUGUCAGGUGUGAACCCCGGAGGGAAAGCAUUUUGUACUGAUAACAUGCUGUAUCACAAUAUA
rnacentral:lncRNA from 1 species